GACGAACGCUGGCGGCGUGCUUAAAACAUGCAAGUCGAACGGACUUCUCAUGAAGCUUGCAAUUGAGAAGUUAGUGGCGGACGGGUGAGUAACGCGUGGGCAACCUGCCCCUGAGCCCGGGAUAACAGUUCGAAAGGACUGCUAAGACCGGAUAUACUUGCGGGGAAGCAUUUCUCUGUAAGGAAAGGGAACGCUCAGGGAUGGGCCCGCGUCCCAUUAGCUAGUUGGUGAGGUAACGGCCCACCAAGGCGACGAUGGGUAGCCGGCCUGAGAGGGUGAACGGCCACACUGGGACUGAGACACGGCCCAGACUCCUACGGGAGGCAGCAGUUGGGAAUCUUCGGCAAUGGGCGCAAGCCUGACCGAGCAACGCCGCGUGAGUGAUGAAGGUUUUCGGAUUGUAAAGCUCUGUCUUCCGGGACGAUAAUGACGGUACCGGAGGAGGAGCCACGGCUAACUACGUGCCAGCAGCCGACGGUAAACACGAAGAGUA
rnacentral:rRNA from 1 species